GCGGGGCGCAGCGGGCCGCGGGGUUCCGGGCGCGCUCCCCGCACUACUCCAGUGCCAUGGUGCGCCCGCGGAGCCGCUCGGUUUAGAGCUGGGGCUGGCGGCGGAGGGAUACUGCGCCCGGGAGCCGCCUCACCCCUCCUCAAACUUCCUGACAUUUGAACUCAUUGGUGCGCCUCGUAUCCCUGCGCCGGGAUGAGCCGGCGGCUCCACGUCAAAUAGUGCCGUCGCCGCCCCCCCGCGCGGGAGGGCUCCCCGCGCCCCCAGCCUGCGCCCCGCGCCGCGCCUGGCCCCGCGCGCCGGUCCGGGCGUCCCGGCCAGGCCGAGCGCCCUGCUGGCCCCUCGCAGAAGUAUUUUGUAAAGCUUCGGCGGUAAGAGGAGUGGCCCCGAGCGAGACCAGACUGCGCGGACGGCGGCGAGCACAGCGGCUCCACCAGGAGACGGCGCCGGCCGUGAGCGGCCGCCCGGGGACCCCGACUGUCGGCCGAGGCUGAAAGGGGGUCCCUGUGGCCAGACUUCCUAAGCUUCUCUGACCUCUGGCUGGCGUCCAGAGCCAAGUUGGGGCCGUGGACUGUGCCCCAAACUCGGACUGCCCAAAGGCUGCGUCUCAGCGUAGGAGGACGUGCCCAGGGCGGGCUUGGGUGCCAUGGCUGGUCUGUCCUGGGGUGCACAGGAUCUUGGCACGUCUCCCCGUGCUCCUGCCUGCGUCACAGCCCACACCACCAGGGCCCACAUCGGGAGAGCCAAGGGUGGUGCUCAGAGCCGCUGGUGGCUGCCGACAUGCUGGGCCCAACCCAGGUGCGGGUCUGGGAGUGGGGCUGUUCAGUCUACAAACCUGAGGUCCCCUCUCCAGGUCCUCCCCGCUCACUGUCCAUUCGUCCCUGUCCUCCUGAUCACCGUAUAGGUCCUGUUCCUUGCCCUUUGUCCCCCUUCCUCGGGUCCCUCGGUGAUCCCGGCUCCUUCGCAUACAGACACACAGAGGCCCCAGGUCUCUCCCCAGCACAACCGCAGGAGCUGAACUGCUGAAGAAGUGGCCGCCUGGACCGAAGGCGGGGGCCUAGACCCCGACUCAG
rnacentral:lncRNA from 1 species